AUUGAACGCUGGCGGCAGGCCUAACACAUGCAAGUCGAGCGAGCGGCGGACGUGUGAGUAAUGCCUGGGAAUUGCCCAGUCGAGGGGGAUAACAGUUGGAAACGACUUCUAAUACCGCAUACGAUUGGAUUGCCCAGGUGGGAUUAGACAGUUUGUGAGGUCAUGGCUCACCAAGGCGACGAGCCCUAGCUGGUCUGAGAGGAUGAGCAGCCACAGUGGAACUGAGACACGGGCCAGACUCCUACGGGAGGCAGCAGGGGGGAAUAUUGCACAAUGGGGGAAACCCUGAUGCAGCCAUGCCGCGUGUGUGAAGAAGGCCUUCGGGUUGUAAAGUACUUGCAGCGAGGAGGCGUUACUCGCAGAAGAAGCACCGGCUAACUCCGUGCCAGCAGCCGGGGUAAUAC
rnacentral:rRNA from 1 species